rnacentral:rRNA from 1 species
CCUACGGGAGGCAGCAGUGAGGAAUAUUGGACAAUGGGCGCAAGCCUGAUCCAGCCAUGCCGCGUGCAGGAAGACGGUCCUAUGGAUUGUAAACUGCUUUUGUACAGGAAGAAACACUCCCUCGUGAGGGAGCUUGACGGUACUGUAAGAAUAAGGAUCGGCUAACUCCGUGCCAGCAGCCGCGGUAAUACGGAGGAUCCAAGCGUUAUCCGGAAUCAUUGGGUUUAAAGGGUCCGUAGGCGGUUUAAUAAGUCAGUGGUGAAAUCUGGUCGCUCAACGAUCAAACGGCCAUUGAUACUGUUAGACUUGAAUUAUUAGGAAGUAACUAGAAUAUGUAGUGUAGCGGUGAAAUGCUUAGAUAUUACAUGGAAUACCAAUUGCGAAGGCAGGUUACUACUAAUGGAUUGACGCUGAUGGACGAAAGCGUGGGGAGCGAACAGGAUUAGAUACCCUGGUAGUCCACGCCGUAAACGAUGGAUACUAGCUGUUCGGAGCAAUCUGAGUGGCUAAGCGAAAGUGAUAAGUAUCCACCUGGGGAGUACGUUCGCAAGAAUUGAAACUUCAAAUGAAUUGACGG